rnacentral:lncRNA from 11 species
GAGACAGUUGUAGCGGUCUGGUUUCUGGAUUCAAUACCGCAUACCGUAUUCGAAGACGAUACGAUAUUGUUAUUGGCGAAUGUUGUGGCCGUAAUAGUCUGUCGGGAACGCUGUUGAUCGAUGCCGACUGCGGGACGUUGCGUUCUAGAAUGAACUUUGUCAUGCUAUUUCGUUUCCGCUGCUGCUGCUGCUGCUGCUGUGCGAGUCAUUGUUGAAUCCUUUGCUCGUCGUUGUACGACGGCGCUGCCAAGGUGUCAUCCGCUAACGUCAAGCUGUCAACAGGAGUCGCACGACAAUUUCCAGCAAUGCCGCUUCGGCCGCCAUUACACACAAUGCCAUACAGGAACAUAGGGGGGCGAGCACAGGACGAGAAUGAGAGAAGGACUAGCCAUCUCGCAGAGUUGAAAACUUUCCGUAAGCAGAUGUCGCGUCCUCGUAGCAUGCUUCGGUACCUCCUACAGUUACUGCUGUUACUUCUGCCCAUAUGGUACAGCUGUGCGUGCGAGUCACGUAACGCAAUUCUGCUGCUCAAAACCGUUCAUAAUCGCUGUCCCAUAUGUACUAGUUGUUUCCGCAUUUCGCUGCUGCUAAACACAAACUGCAAAGGACCAAAGAGAAAAUGUGCGAAAGCAACUGCAAAUGUGAGUGACGGCCAACCUAUGGCGAACGCCGUCCGGCGAUAUCGGACUUCAGUGAGCAAGGCUGGAUAAGCUUCUUGAUCUGGUCCAUUCAUCCCAAAAUCAUUCGAGUCGAUACUGUUGUGCUUAAACUUUGAAGACAAGCCCAAUAUUUGAAGCGUGAAAUCAUAAACUCCGUUACGGCUACACUUUAUUGUGGACGGCAUCGUCAUCUUCAAACGAUCAUCGGAAAAAAUUUAAACGGUACGAAAUCUGAGCGAUGAAAAAGUCAAUGCUAAAAAGAACAAUGAGACAA